ensembl:antisense Hnf1aos1 HNF1 homeobox A, opposite strand 1
AAGAGGGGGGUCUGGUAUGGGGAGGCCUCUAACCCUGCUAUCUGACCAGGCUGGGGUCAGGGGCAAGCAGCACCUGGCCAUGCAGGGAAACUGCCACCUUCAGCUCCAUCUGCCCCAGGUUCCCUAAAAUCAGACUCUGUCAUCGGCAAGUGGAGACUGUAACAGACUGGGACCCUCACAUGCCGAUAAGCAGUCAAGAAUAUUUUCUGGGAGCUGGAGAGAUGGGCUCAGCAGUUAAGAACACUGACUGCUCUUCCGGAGGUCCUGUGUUCAAAUCCCAGCAACCACAGGGUAACUCACAACCAUCUGUAAUGAGAUCUGAUGCCCUCUUCGGGUGUGUCUGAAGACAGCUACAGUGUCCUUACAUAUAAUAAAUAAAUAAAUCUUUUUUUUUAA